GCUUCACCACAGAGUCUGUUUGUUCUCUCUCUCUCUCUUUUCCACAUUGCUUAUCUGAAUAUAUAAGCCUGCCCUUUGCUCAGAUUUAUGGGUUGGGGCAGUGCUGUGUGUAUUUACAGUCUCCUGACCUGAAGACCUAGAGCUGAACAAGAGAAGGAGGAAACCAGGGCCCGUUCCAUAAACAGAGACAGAUAUGAGGGGGAGGAUAAAAUCAUUUUUUCUGUGGAAAGAAGUCAUACUGGAAGUGGAUUCAGGUGAGUAAAAAGUAUCUAUGAGAAUUUGGGGGCGCUAUUACAAGGCUGCUAAAAUACUUUUUUUUUUAUUGGUUCUGCUGAUUACCCAUUUGCCAAUCAAAUAAUUUUCUUUUCUAAUAAGGUGCAGUUCAUAGCAACAGUAUGUUUGGAUGUAACCAUUUGAAGCAGAGGCCUAGCUCAGUCUGCCAGAAAAAAAAAAGGCACCACAAAGAACAUUGAGAUGAAUGGCUCUAUUUUAUGAGCCAUAAAAGUUUUAUUCAUCUUGACACUGAAACAGGUUUAGGCAGUGAGUUGACACGCCUUAAAUAAAUAAGUGGAAUUAAUUCCCUAGCUCUUGAAACAAUAGAAGCAUGCAUGUAGCACUGAGAGCUAGCCCAUUGUUUCCUGUUGCUGCUUGAUAUUGAUAUUAUUUGUGUUUUUCUGUGCGGCUUCCUCAGGGGCCUGGUUGAUCCACUUCAAAUUCUUCCCCUGUUUUAUUAGAGGUUGAAAAAGGUUCAAGACCUGGUUGUACCACUGCUCCCACCGACAGCUAAGGAACCAGUUUGGCGUCUGGUUUGUCUGUUGUUUUACUGCUGACCUUCAAAUCAACUUUAACCCCUGACCCCUGGAGGCAUCUAUCAUGACAAGAGGCUGUUUAACACAAAUGGUGCCCAUUUAUAGGGGAAGAGAGUCAGAAGAUUUCCUUUUUAUGAAGAAUUUGGUUUUUCACCCCUCUUUUCUCAGUCACCACAGGUGAAAUCCCUCCUAGCAGCUGGCUUAUGAAAUAAUGUGAGGGGGGUGGCCCUAAUGAGCUGAAAGCACCCUCAGCUGGAGAUAAAUAUAUGCAAAUGAGAUGCACAAACAAAGGAGCCUGGACAGAGAAAUAUCUGCAAUUCCUGCAAAAUGCUGCCUGCAGCUAGAAGAUGAACAGCUUUGAUAAAAUGGUGCGGGAGAAACGGGACUUACCCUAAUGCUGCAAAGCAGGCAGUCACGGAGAACAUUUGUGUUUAAAAUGCAAUCUGAAGAAAAAAAG